rfam:Camelus ferus unplaced genomic scaffold scaffold588, whole genome shotgun sequence.
AGUUUUGCCAGUAGCAGUAUCGUAGCCAGUGAGGUUUAUCUGAGGCAUGAUUUUUGCUAAUUGAAAAAAAAAAGUGGUUAAUCUCUUGCUAUGGUUGUGUUCACAACAACUAUCUCUUAUUCUGUUGUUGGCUACAGUUUGU